CAACGGAUAGCGACAUCAGCAUAGAGAGAGAGUUACAAAAAGCGUGCUCUCCUUUCGGAUCAAUCCACUCUCUCUCUCUCUCUCUCUCUCUCUCUUUUCAGAUUCCGAAUCGGAUCAUGGAUUCUUCCUCCUCCGCCCGCCGCCGCAUAAACGCCAUCCACUCCCAUCUCGUCACGUCCUCUCGCUCCUCCCCUCUCAUCCGCUCCAAUCCCACCGCCGGCGAGUUCUGUCUCGAUAAUGGCUAUAGCGUCGCGCUUCCCGAGAAACUGAGCACUGGCGAUUGGAACGUCUACAGAUCUGCUCGAUCUCCGUUCAAGCUCGUUAGCAGAUUCCCUGAUCAUCCUGACAUCGCCACUCUCCAUGACAACUUUGAGCAUGCUGUUCAUGAUUUUCGGGAUUACAAGUACUUAGGAACUCGCGUUCGCGUCGACGGAACAGUUGGAGACUACAAAUGGAUGACGUAUGGUGAAGUUGAUACGGCGAGAACUGCUAUAGGUUCUGGUUUGGUUCAUCACGGAAUCACCAUGGGAUCUACUGUUGGAAUUUACUUUAUCAACCGCCCAGAGUGGCUCAUUGUUGAUCAUGCUUGUUCUGCUUAUUCUUACGUGUCUGUUCCUUUGUAUGAUACUCUUGGUCCUGAUGCUGUACAAUUUAUUGUCAAUCAUGCAAAUGUGCAAGCCAUAUUUUGUGUGGCGGAGACGUUGAACUCCUUGCUUAGCGGCUUGUCUGAGAUGCCAAGUGUACGCCUCGUGGUGGUUGUUGGAGGGCUGAAUGAAUCUUUGCCUUCGCUUCCCGCAUCAGCAGGAGUGAAAGUCGUCUCAUAUUCAGUGUUACUGAAUCAGGGACGUAGUAAACCUCAGCCGUUCGUACCACCAAAACCAGAUGAUGUUGCAACCAUAUGCUAUACAAGCGGAACAACUGGGACCCCCAAGGGAGUCGUAUUGACUCAUGCAAACUUGAUUUCAAAUGUUGCUGGAUCCAGUUUUAGUGUGAAGUUUUUCUCUUCAGAUAUCUACAUUUCAUAUCUUCCGUUGGCACACAUUUACGAACGAUCAAAUCAAAUCCUAACCGUGUACUUUGGAGUUGCUGUUGGUUUCUACCAAGGGGACAAUAUGAAACUACUGGAUGAUUUGGCGGCUCUGAGACCUACUGUAUUCAGCAGUGUUCCUCGAUUAUACAACAGAAUAUAUGAUGGUAUCACUAAUGCAGUAAAAUCCUCUGGCGGGCUGAAGGAGAGGCUCUUCAAUGCUGCCUAUAAUGCAAAGAAGCAGGCUCUCGUAAAUGGAAAGAAUGCUUCUGCAAUAUGGGACAGGCUGGUUUUUAAUAAGAUAAAGGACAAACUUGGAGGACGGGUUCGUUUUAUGACGUCUGGGGCUUCACCUCUGUCUCCUGAAGUCAUGGAAUUUAUGAAAAUAUGCUUUGGAGCAAGGGUUUUAGAGGGAUAUGGGAUGACGGAAACAGCUUGUGUUAUAAGUGGAAUGGACGAGGGUGAUAACCUCAUUGGACAUGUUGGCUCUCCUAAUCCAGCUUGUGAAAUAAAGCUUGUGGAUGUCCCGGAAAUGAACUACACAUCAGCAGAUCAGCCCAAUCCCCGCGGCGAAAUUUGUGUGAGGGGUCCUAUUGUUUUUAGAGGCUAUUACAAAGAUGAAGUUCAAACGAAAGAAGUGGUUGAUGAAGAUGGAUGGCUUCACACUGGAGAUAUAGGCCUGUGGCUUCCGGGAGGACGUCUACAGAUUAUUGACAGGAAGAAGAACAUCUUCAAGUUGGCGCAAGGGGAGUACAUAGCUCCAGAGAAAAUUGAAAACGUGUAUGCCAAGUGCAAAUUUGUGGGACAAUGCUUCAUAUAUGGUGAUAGCUUUAAUUCAUCAUUGGUUGCUGUUGUAUCGGUUGAUCCAGAUGUGCUUAAAAGCUGGGCUGCUUCACAAGGCAUUAAGCAUGGAGAUCCGAGAGAAUUGUGCAAUAACCCGAGAGUGAAAGCAGCAGUAGUAUCUGACAUGGACACUGUUGGAAGAGAAGCUCAGUUGAGAGGCUUUGAGUUUGCAAAAGCUGUGACGUUGGUGCUGGAGCCAUUUACGCUAGAAAAUGGCUUGUUGACACCGACGUUAAAGAUUAAGAGACCACAAGCAAAGGAAUAUUUCGCAGAAGCAAUAACAAACAUGUACAAGGAGCUUGCUGCUUCUGAUCCCACCAACCGCUAAUAAAGCUUUGUGAUUCCAGAGUGAUUAAUAACAACAAGUCCACCCAAACUAUUCAUCGAACCUAUCACGAAACAACGUUCUUUAUUAGCUUGCUAUGUUUUGGGUCUUUUCUUUACCACAGAAACCGCUCAGAACAAUGUAAAACGUUGUCUAUAAGUGGAUGUGAUAGCAAAUUAGUAAAGCCCAAAUGAUAAUCUCUGCAUCUAGUCAUAUCCAAAUAAAUCUGUUCACAUCUGUUAUGUAACAAUACAUCCAAAAUCGAUUGUGAUUUUGGAGAAUAGGCUCAGAUUUACACGCAAUGAUGGUGCUAGUUUUUUUAGCU